rnacentral:rRNA from 1 species
GUCUCUUUGUAAUUUAUAAAUAAAGAGUCGGGCCUGCUCGGUGAAUAAAAUUGUUUUAACAGCUGCGGUAUUUUAACUGUACUAAGGUAGCAUAAUAAUUUGCCUUAUAAUUUGAGGCUAGAAUGAAUGGUUUGACGAAGGUUAAUCUGUCUCUAUCUUAUUUAUUAGAAUUUAAUUUUUAGAGUGAAAAAGCUUGGAUUUUUUAAAGGGACGAGAAGACCCUACUGAGCUUAUAAUUUUAUUGUUAUUUUGUUUUAUGUGUAAAGUAAUAUAUAAAUUUUAAUUGGGGUGAUUAAGGAAUAAAGUAUAUAAGAUUAAGUAACUUCCUUAGUUUAAAUAUUGUUAAAUAAAGUAACCAAUAUUAUUGCUUAUAAUAUAGUUACCAUAGGGAUAACAGCGUAAUUUAUUUAGAGAGUUCUUAUUGAAAAAUGAGAUUGCGACCUCGAUGUUGGAUUAAAGUAACCUUAAGGUGCAGAAGCUUUAAAAGGUAAAUCUGUUCGAUUUUUAAAACUUUACA